GACCCAGUAGCUCAGUUGGCAGAGCACUUGACUUUUAAUCAAGGUGUCCGGAGUUCGAAUCUCCGCUGGGUCACCA
rnacentral:tRNA from 1 species